rnacentral:rRNA from 1 species
CCAGCUCCAAUAGCGUAUAUUAAAGUUGUUGCAGUUAAAAAGCUCGUAGUUGGAUUUCGGCGUGCGCUCAGGCUGGUCGGCCGUCAAGGUCUGUACCGUUUGGGUCACGCCCCACUGUAGGAUACUCACCGCUGUCCUUAACUGAGUGGCGGUCAAAGGGGGUGUGCAUGGGGGCAACUCUGUGCAUAUCUCUGGGGUUCCUACUCUUUUACUUUGAGCAAAUUAGAGUGUUCAAAGCAGGCAAUCGAGCCUUGAAUACUUCAGCAUGGGAUAAUGGAACAGGACUGGGGUCCUGAUUUCGUUGGUUUCUGGGAUCUCAGUAAUGAUUAAUAGGGAUAGUUGGGGGCAUUAGUAUUUAAUUGUCAGAGGUGAAAUUCUUGGAUUUAUGAAAGACUAACUUCUGCGAAAGCAUUUGCCAAGGAUGUUUUCAUUAAUCAAGAACGAAAGUUAGGGGAUCGAAGACGAUCAGAUACCGUCGUAGUCUUAACCAUAAACGAUGCCGACCAGCGAUUGGGAGACGUUACAUGGAUGACUCCCCCAGCAGCUUGCGAGAAAUCACAAGUCUUUGGGUUCCGGGGGGAGUAUGGUCGCAAGGCUGAAACUUAAAGGAAUUGACGGAAGGGCACCACCAGGAGUGGAGCCUGCGGCUUAAUUCGACUCAAC